AGCGGCUCUUGGGAGGCUGCGUCCGCGCGCCGGCGAGGCGAGGCGGCCGGGCCCUGCGCGUCAGGCCUGAGACCUGGGAGGAAGCUGGAGAAAAGAUGCCCUCUGAAUCUUUCUGUUUGGCUGCCCAGGCUCGCCUCGACUCCAAAUGGUUGAAAACAGAUAUACAGAGGUGUAAGAUAGGAAUGUGAGAUUGGAAAAGAUUGGAAAAGAGUUCUUAGCCCAAAUAACCUAAUUAGAAGCUUCUGGGAUCUGAACCAAAAAAGUCAAAAGUUGAAAAGCUACUGGGCACGUUUAGCUUGCAUUCACAAGAGAUGGGCUCUGUGGUCUGUGGAAUGAAAUGGUUAAAGAUGGAGAAAUUGUAUACACUGGAACAGAAUCAACCCAGAACGGAUAGCUCCCUCCUGGAAAAGCUUUUGUGUGGUCCUCUGAGCCCCAGUGAGAGUUUCCUGAGGUACCUCACCCUUCCACAAGACAACAGGCUUGCCAUUGAUCUGCAACAAACGGCGGUUGUUGUCAUGGCCCAUUUAGACCGUCUGGCUACACCCUGUAGAUGCCUCCUCUGUGUAGCUCUCCGACGUCUCAUAAGAGUCAUUUUUUACAGGUCAGAACUGUAGAAAUAAUGAGAAAGUGACACUUGUACGCAUAGCUGAUUUGGAGAACCAUAAUAACGAUGGAGGCUUCUGGACUGUGAUUGACGGGAAAGUGUAUGAUAUAAAGGACUUCCAGACACAGUCGUUAACAGAAAAUAGUAUUCUUGCUCAGUUUGCAGGGGAAGACCCAGUGGUAGCUUUGGAAGCUGCUUUGCAGUUUGAAGACACCCGGGAAUCCAUGCACGCAUUUUGUGUUGGCCAGUAUUUGGAGCCUGACCAAGAAAUCGUCACCAUACCAGAUCUGGGGAGUCUCUCUUCACCUCUGAUAGACACAGAGAGGAAUCUGGGCCUGCUUCUCGGAUUACACGCUUCCUAUUUGGCAAUGAGCACACCGCUGUCUCCUGUCGAGAUUGAAUGUGCCAAAUGGCUUCAGUCAUCCAUCUUCUCUGGAGGCCUGCAGACCAGCCAGAUCCACUACAGCUACAACGAGGAGAAAGACGAGGACCACUGCAGCUCCCCAGGGGGCACACCUGCCAGCAAAUCUCGACUCUGCUCCCACAGACGGGCCCUGGGGGACCAUUCCCAGGCAUUUCUGCAAGCCAUUGCAGACAACAACAUUCAGGAUCACAACGUGAAGGACUUUUUGUGUCAAAUAGAAAGGUACUGUAGGCAGUGCCAUUUGACCACACCGAUCAUGUUUCCCCCCGAGCAUCCCGUGGAAGAGGUCGGUCGCUUGCUGUUAUGUUGCCUCUUAAAACAUGAAGAUUUAGGUCAUGUGGCAUUAUCUUUAGUUCAUGCAGGUGCACUUGGUAUUGAGCAAGUAAAGCACAGAACGUUGCCUAAGUCAGUGGUGGAUGUUUGUAGAGUUGUCUACCAAGCAAAAUGUUCGCUCAUUAAGACUCAUCAAGAACAGGACCGUUCUUACAAGGAGGUCUGCGCUCCUGUCAUCGAACGUUUGAGAUUCCUCUUUAAUGAAUUGAGACCUGCUGUUUGUAAUGACCUCUCUAUAAUGUCUAAGUUUAAAUUGUUAAGUUCUUUGCCCCAUUGGAGGAGGAUAGCUCAGAAGAUAAUUCGAGAACCAAGGAAAAAGAGAGUUCCUAAGAAGCCAGAAUCUACGGAUGAUGAAGAAAAAA
ensembl:lncRNA novel transcript